AUAAAUGCCAAGAAGGAGAAAGGUAUUUUAUUUUAAUAGUCACAGAGAGUCGGUAAUUGCUGAGAGCCGAUACUGUUAGUAAUAUGCGAAUCACUCCUGAGCAGUAUCUUCCAAAAGUCUGCACUUAGUAGUUGAUACCGGUUAGCUUCGUUAAAAGCUUUAGGUUUGAUAGAACUGAAAUAAGUGGUGUCUUUUUCGACACAAUUAAGGUGGUACCACGGGUCUUAAGCUCGUCCUUUGU
rnacentral:ncRNA from 1 species